UACCAGACUCCUACGGGAGGCAGCAGUGAGGAAUAUUGGUCAAUGGCCGGGAGGCUGAACCAGCCAAGUCGCGUGAGGGAAGACGGCCCUACGGGUUGUAAACCUCUUUUGUCGGGGAGCAAAAGACGCCACGCGUGGCGUUCCGAGAGUACCCGAAGAAAAAGCAUCGGCUAACUCCGUGCCAGCAGCCGCGGUAAUACGGAGGAUGCGAGCGUUAUCCGGAUUUAUUGGGUUUAAAGGGUGCGUAGGCGGAAUGCCAAGUCAGCGGUAAAAUCGCGGGGCUCAACCUCGCUCCGCCGUUGAAACUGGCAGUCUCGAGUUGGAGAGAAGUAUGCGGAAUGCGCGGUGUAGCGGUGAAAUGCAUAGAUAUCGCGCAGAACUCCGAUUGCGAAGGCAGCAUGCCGGCUCCACACUGACGCUGAGGCACGAAAGCGUGGGUAUCGAACAGGAUUAGAUACCCCGGUAAAC
rnacentral:rRNA from 1 species